rnacentral:rRNA from 1 species
GAGUUUGAUCCUGGCUCANAACGAACGCUGGCGGCGUGCUUAACACAUGCAAGUCGAACGAGAAACCUCGAGCUUGCUCGAGGGAGUAAAGUGGCGCACGGGUGAGUAACACGUGGGUAACCUACCCCCGAAUCCGGGAUAACCUCGCGAAAGCGUUGCUAAUACCGGAUAUUGUCCUAUCGGUUGUGACCUUUGGGAUGAAAGGCAACCUCUUCAUGAAAGUUGUCGUUCAGGGAUGGGCCCGCGUACCAUUAGCUUGUUGGUGGGGUAACGGCCCACCAAGGCUGCGAUGGUUAGCUGGUCUGAGAGGAUGAUCAGCCACACUGGAACUGAAACACGGUCCAGACUCCUACGGGAGGCAGCAGUGAGGAAUUUUGCGCAAUGGGGGAAACCCUGACGCAGCAACGCCGCGUGAGUGAAGAAGGCUUUCGGGUCGUAAAGCUCUGUCAAGUGGGAAAAAAGUCUGAUGAUUAAUAGUUGUCAGAUCUGAUGGUACCACUGGAGGAAGCACCGGCUAACUCCGUGCCAGCAGCCGCGGUAAUACGGAGGGUGCAAGCGUUGUUCGGAAUUACUGGGCGUAAAGGGCGUGCAGGCGGGUUGGUAAGUCAGAUGUGAAAGCCCUGGGCUUAACCCAGGAAGUGCAUUUGAAACUGCCAUCCUAGAGUAUGGGAGAGGAGAGUGGAAUUCCCAAUGUAGAGGUGAAAUUCGUAGAUAUUGGGAGGAACACCCGUGGCGAAGGCGACUCUCUGGACCAAUACUGACGCUGAGACGCGA